rnacentral:rRNA from 1 species
CAGUCGCCGCGGUAAUACGAAGGGGGCUAGCGCUGUUCGGAAUUACUGGGCGUAAAGCGCACGCAGGCGGCUCGAUAAAUUAGAAGUGAAAGCCUUGGGCUUAACCUGAGAAUUGCUUUUAAGACUGUCGAGCUAGAAUCCAGAAGAGGGUAGUGGAAUUCCGAGUGUAGAGGUGAAAUUCGUAGAUAUUCGGAAGAACACCAGUGGUGAAGGCGACUACCUGGUCUGGCAUUGACGCUCACGUGCGAAAGCGUGGGGAGCAAACAGGAUUAGAUACCCCCGUAGUCCCUGUCUCUUAUAU